rnacentral:rRNA from 1 species
GUCUUAAAGAAUUUAAUUUUAAGUCUAAUCUGCCCACUGAUUAUAUUAAAUGGCUGCAGUAAAUUAACUGUACAAAGGUAGCAUAAUAAUUUGUUUUUUAAUUAAAAACUUGUAUGAAAGAUUUGAUGAAAUAUAAACUUUUUUAAAUAAAUUGAUUAAAUUUGUUAUUUAAGUAAAAAAACUUAAAUUUUAUUUAAAGACGAUAAGACCCUAUAGAAUUUAAUUUAUUUAAAUAUUAUAAAAAUAUUUUGAUAAAUUUUAUUGGGGUAAUUAAAAAAUUUAUAAAAUUUUUUUUAUAAGAAACAUUAAUUGGUGAAUAUAAAAAUUUAAAUUUUAAAUAUAAAUAUUAAUUACCUUAGGGAUAACAGCAUAAUUUUUUUUAAAAGAUCAUAUUUAUAAAAAAGGUUAU